GGACCCGCGGAAGGAUCAUU
rnacentral:rRNA from 1 species